UACGUAGGGUGCGAGCGUUGUCCGGAAUUAUUGGGCGUAAAGAGCUCGUAGGCGGUUUGUCGCGUCUGCUGUGAAAUCCCGAGGCUCAACCUCGGGCCUGCAGUGGGUACGGGCAGACUAGAGUGCGGUAGGGGAGAUUGGAAUUCCUAGUGUAGCGGUGGAAUGCGCAGAUAUCAGGAGGACACCGAUGGCGAAGGCAGAUCUCUGGGCCGUAACUGACGCUGAGGAGCGAAAGCGUGGGGAGCGAACAGG
rnacentral:rRNA from 1 species